rnacentral:rRNA from 1 species
CGCGCAGGCGGUCGUUCAAGUCGAGUGUGAAAGCCCCCGGCUCAACUGGGGAGGGUCACUCGAUACUGAUCGACUCGAAGGCAGAAGAGGGAAGCGGAAUUCCCGGUGUAGUGGUGAAAUGCGUAGAUAUCGGGAGGAACACCAGUGGCGAAGGCGGCUUUCUGGUCUGCUCUUGACGCUGAGGCGCGAAAGCAGGUAGCAAACG